GACGAACGCUGGCGGCGUGCCUAAUACAUGCAAGUCGAGCGAAGUUUUUCUGGUGCUUGCCCUAGAAAAACUUAGCGGCGAACGGGUGAGUAACACGUAAAGAACCUGCCUCAUAGACUGGGACAACUAUUGGAAACGAUAGCUAAUACCGGAUAACAGCAUUAACUGCAUGGUUGAUGUUUAAAAGUUGGUUUUGCUAACACUAUGAGAUGGCUUUGCGGUGCAUUAGCUAGUUGGUGGGGUAAAGGCCUACCAAGGCGACGAUGCAUAGCCGACCUGAGAGGGUGAUCGGCCACACUGGGACUGAGACACGGCCCAGACUCCUACGGGAGGCAGCAGUAGGGAAUCUUCCGCAAUGGGCGAAAGCCUGACGGAGCAACGCCGCGUGAGUGAAGAAGGAUUUCGGUUCGUAAAGCUCUGUUGUUAGGGAAGAAUGAAUGUGUAGUAACUAUACACAGUAGAGACGGUACCUAACCAGAAAGCCACGGCUAACUACGUG
rnacentral:rRNA from 1 species